CUUUCAAAACUCGAGCGCAGAAAUAUCAUGACGCGCGAGGACAACUGUGAAUUCGAGAGAUAAAAAAACAAGAGCGAUAUUCUGUUCAGCGUGCACACAAAAAUCUUUUUUUGUUUUUACAUUUGCACUCACGAGAAGUUAAUUUACACACACACAAUGUUAAAACAAGCUCGUUAAUAUUUUUCACCUGUUAUUUUUGGCGCCCCCUGACUUCUGACGUUGAUGUGACGCCGUACGCACCCCUGUAAUCCCUGAUCACGUGAGCCUCGCUCGGCUUAGCUGCGGCUCCGUUACUGCUUUUACUGCAGGCCUAUACUAUAUAUUAUGGGCUCCUGUCACCUGCUCUGUUAUACUCCUGUGUCUUCCUUACUUCCUUCUUCUCUCUCUCUCUUUCUCUCUUUUUUAACUCUCUUUUUCUCCCUUUUUUUCUUUUAUUUUUUUAUUUAAAUCUUGGCAGACUCCUCUUGCUCUGCCCUCUCUCCAUCCCUGGUCAUGCAUAAUGAAUCUGGGACAGCCUCCUCCUCCUCCUUUCCUUCUUUAGUCCCCCUCCCUCUGCUUAAUGCUUUCCCCUCCUGGCUAAUGCUAGCUAGCACACACACACCCACCCACCCACACACACACAUACACACACACAGCAUCCUGAAGGAAGGAACAGGGCUGAACAGAUGACAGUGGAGAUGUGCAGGAGUGUAUGUGUAUUGAUACGUGUCCACUUGCCUUUUUGCCUCAAAGCAUCCAAUCCAUUCAUUCCAAUGGUGUCACAUCCAGCAUCCAGUUUUAACUUUAUGCAAAUGAAUACACCCCGAAUAUACAAGUCUGUUCACUUGUACUAGAAAUACUACGAGCACUAUGUUUGUAGAUUUUGCUUUAAAAAUUGCACAAAAUAUAAAUCUAUUUUUAUCUCAUUCUGGCUGCUGCACUUGCGCAGAUCUCCACAGCCAAAGAAGCCAUGUUAAGCGUAUUGUGACGUUGGAGCAGACGAUGAAGCAGAGCAGACGGGAGGUGGAUUUAUAUGCGGGUAAGAACAAACUUUAAUAAAUAACAAAUAAACAAAUAAACAAAUAAGGGAAUAACGAAUAUAUAUAUAUAUAUAUAUAUAUAUAUAUAUAUAUAUAUAUAUAUAUAUAUAUAUAUAUAUAUAUGUACAUAAACAAACAGGGAAAAGCAACAAAGAGCUAAGCUAAACAGAAAGUGACUAAACAGAGCUAGGGAAUAUAUACAAAGGACAAAUACGUAAAUAUAUACAGGUAUAAACAAGGAAACAGACAGAAAAUAAACGUGACAGGAAAUAUCUCAGGAAAUAUCUACGAGAGAUAAACGUAGCGUGACGAAAACCGUGAACUAACUAAGCAAACGUGGUGACACAAACGACAGAGGAAGGUGCAAAGACCGACCGAUAAACAUAGACAAAACGGUACUAUAUAUAGUAACAUAAAACACUGAACACCUGGGGAGACAGGUAACGAGGGGCGGAGCUACAAAUUACAAACACGUGACGGAAAACUACUGGAGAAACACACUAGGAAAUGGGGAAAACACAGGGAAACAUAGCGAGGCCGUGAAACGUAUUAUGAAUAAUAGCGUGCUAGUCCAAUUCAUAUUUCAACUAGUGUAUGAUUUCAUCAUUAAUGUCCAGAGAUAUGUACAAAACAAGUACUAGAGAUCCAGACUUGACUAAAAGUAGCAAAAAUUUACUUGAGUCUUAAAAUGAAAUGUUUUUAAGCUCCACACUUAAAGAGCAGUUGAAGUACAGCAGAAAUAGUCGAUUUGGCCCUAAAAUAAUAUUGCAAUAUUUCAGGCCAUUUUUGUGAUUUAUAUUUAUAAUAAUAAGACAAAACAUCAUUUUUUUAAAGAACAAAAAUAUUCAAAGAAUCUACGACUGCACCACAAUAAAUAAAGUUUUAUGUAGUAUAAAUUUCAUACAUUCUAUAGAAAUAAAAAAAACCCAUAUUUUUUAUUGUUUAUCUAUUUUUAAAGACCCCGAUUAUAAUGAUAAUAAUAAUAAAUAACAGAAUUACAAAAAAUAAAAUAGUUUGUAGAGGUUUGGUUUAAUAAUGCACAAAAAAAUCAAUAGACUUUUCAGAUUGUUUUGGCAACAAGGGUUGCCAUGUUAAGUGUAUUGUGGGCCAAUCUUUAAGUGUACUCUUAUUUAAAAAUCCUUUCUAAAUAGUGUUUAAGAAAAUAAGUGCAGUACUGCAAAACAAGAUAUUGCGAUACUUUAAUAUAUCGAUACUUUAUUAAACCCCUACUGUUUGGUUGCCUCGCUUGCAUUCAAGAACAUCACAGAUACGCCUCAACAAAGAGAGAGGCAAGUGAUGCAUUGAAGAAAAGUGCAAGUGGACACGUACCUUUUAGUGUAUGAGUGUGAGUGUAUAUGAGUGUGUGAGUGUGUGUAUAAGUGUGUAUGAAUGUGUGUGUGACUGGCAGGGUCAGGAUAGCAGCGUGCUGUGGAACAGGGGAGGCUGUGAGACUCAGAAAGCUCCCGCAGAGGGACGGCGCACUCCGAGCACUUAGCUUAAUUAAACACACCGCACGGAGCUGCGGAGUUAGCGUCGGCCAGCGGCGCUCCGGCUAACGUUUUAAUAUCGGUGAGUUCCAUUUAGCCUCUUCACAGCGGACAUGAUUAACAUGAGUGUUUGUGUGUGUGUGUGUGUGGAGGCUCCUAUUAAAUCUCCUUUUAAAUAAAACGACAGAAAGCCAUUGUCCUCCUCCCUCUUCCCUCUUUCUUAUCCCACAAAAGCAAGAAUUGAAAAAUUCUCAAAAAAUGAAUUCUUCCUUUUCUUCCACUCUGCUGUUUUUUUGUUGUUUUUGAAAGAAACUUUUAUUUUGUAGGGUAAGGAAGGGUAAGUAGUGUAUAUAGCUUGUACUGAUUUAUUACCAACUAAGUACUUAUAGACCCUGUUUAAAACAAACUAAACAAGAAAGAAAAAGAGCAAAGUGGAAAGAAGAUGUAUUCUUUUUUUUUUUUACCUCUUCAUCUCUUAGCUCUGAUGCUCUGUGUGUGUGUGUGUGUGUAUGGGCGGGCAAUCUUGUGAAAUGGUUAGGACAUCCCAUUAAAAACCCUUGUCUUGUUGAAUUUACAGUAUUUGAUCAUAUGUAUGUGUGAGCUUCAUUUAAACAGUAUUAAGAAACACUGAAUAAAACUCAAAACAUUUUUUUUAACAUUUGACAAAAUAUAUAUUUGUAUGUAUAAUGCAAUGAACAAAAGAUAUAUAUAUAUAUAUAUAUAUAUAUAUAUAUAUAUAUAUAUAUAUAUAUAUAUAUAUAUGUGUGUUAUAAGGAUCCUCUAUUGCCUAAAGGCUGGUAUUUCUCACUUCAGCUUCUUUCUAUACAUCUACAAAUCUCUGACCACAUCUUUCCCACUCCUCCAUGCAGAAUUCUCUCAGCUGUCUGAUGCUUUCAUUUUCAGUGUUUGUUGCAUGAAUAAUUAAUUAACAUUUAAGAAUAAAUUGAAUUUGAACUAACUGCUAAUUUGUGAGCCAAACUAGUUAAAGAACAAGCAUUAAACUCCAAUAGCUACUGAAUAAAUAGAUUUAAAAGAGCUUUCUCAAUGAAAUGUAACCAUUUCGGAAUGUAGUGUUGUUUUGCACAAGCAAAAAGUAGAUAAAAAGAAACCCAGUGAGACAAACAAAUGAGACAAAAAUAUUAUACUUGAUAAUUUAUAUAUUGAGGAAAAUGAUCCAAUUUAACAUAUUUGUGAGUGGAAAAAAAGUGAAGCUUUGCUUUCAGUAUCUGGUGUGAUUUUCAUCCCUUUGCAACAAAAAAAUGCAAUAACGAAACAUUAACUUUAAAAUCAAAACGUGAACUUUAGAAAUUAACUUUGUUCGUCUUGAACUAUUUUUUGUUAGAACGACUUGUGUGCUUAGGGUCAUUGUCUUGCUGCAUGACCCAUGUUCUCGGGAUUCAGUUCAUAGACAUAUGCUUCUACAGCAUUUCCAUUGGAUUAAGGUUUUAAAAAAAUCUAAAUUAACGUUAUUCUUGUUUAACUAUUCUUUAGAAGAACGACUUGUGUGCUCAGGGUCACCGUCUUGUUGUGUGACCCAGCUUCUCUUGAGAUUGAGUUUAUGGACAGAUUUCCUGCUUGACAAUUUCCUUUAGAAUUAUUCUCUGAUAUAAUUCAGAAUUCAUGAUUCUGUCAAAACAGGCUCAAACUAUGAUAAUAAUACUACCAACACCAUGUUUCACAGAACUGCGAAUGAAGCUCAUAUGGACGUAGGAUUUUUUUAUUUUUAUUUUUUUAAAUAUGUUCAAAAAUACGAAGGUUUUUAAGGGGGUGUAACUAGUUUCACAUUCACUUGACUUUAUGUGUGAGUGUGUGUAUACGAUUGUGAGUGUGUGUAUACGAGUGUGAGUGUGUAAGUGUGUGUACACAGCCCUGGCGUGGCGAUUGGACGGGACUAACUUGACCUUCUUCUUCUUCUUCUUCUUCCUCCUCCUCUUGUAUGGGCAUUCCCUGUAGCACACACCCGUUUUAUGUCUAGUGUUACAGGCAAAGACUGCUUUACUCGUUGUGACUGAAUAUACACUAAUAAAACUGAAUUUAUUGUAAAAAAGAAAAAGGAAAAAAAAACAAGUAUGAACGCUAUGAAUACUUAAGAAAUAUCCAGAGGAAUGGAGAAACUCUACGUUAUGACAUUAUGGAAUGUUAAUAAAAAAAAAACAAAAAAAAAAAAACAAUUUUAGUGGUUAUAAUUAUCUGCAUUAAGACGAGUAUAGUACACUUCAGAAGUGUAAAGCUGGAGUCAAACUGCUAUUUUAAUUCUAUUGACAGUUCUCCCGUUUGUACAGGGAGAUAUGCCAAGUUAAGCUUUCUUUUUAUUUCCUUUUCUAUAACCUGCAGUGACACCGAUAUCGUAGCUACGAGGCUGAAACAAGCAUUUAAAGGUGGAUUUAAAGGGCGGAAGGGGCUCAGUCAUGUAGAGUGAUUCCAGUCAUGCACUUUUACGUCUCUUUGGAACCUUUAUUUACGAAAAAAAAAAGAAAAUAAAUUGAGAUUAAAUUAAAUUUAACUUUAAAUGAAACUUGUAUAACGUGUGAGCCUAACCAGGUUAAACCUGGUUAAAGAUCUAAAGAGCUACUGAUCAAAUAAUAAAAUUAAAAUAAUUUAGAAGAAAUUUAGAAGAAGCCUUCUAAACGGGCUUUAAAGGUUUUUUGAACGUACUGAACUUUUUUGCACAAGCUUUGAAUAAAAGAAAAAAGGAAAAGAAAAAAAGAAUAGUUUAUUAUGCUGUAAGCAUAUUUACAUAUUUAUCAGACUAAUACAUAAACCACAUAUAUUUGACAUACAGGUGCAUCUAAAAAAAACAAAACAAAAAAAAAAACGUUGAGUAUCAUUGAAAAGUUACUUUAUUUCAAUAAAAUAAAAUAAAAACUCAAAAAUCAGUGUCUCAGAAAAUUUGAAUUUUAUAUAAGAUGAAUUGGUACUUUUGGCAGUGCUGUGGGCAGUGUGCCAAGUCCUGCUGGAAAAUGAAGUCCACAUCUUUAUUAAGAGUUAUCACAGCUGUUAAGGAGAUGCGGAUUUUAUUUUCCAGCAGGACUUGGUCUUAUAUAAUAUUCACAUUUUCUGAGACAUAAUUUUUUUUUUUUUUCAGGUUUUCAUUGGCUGUAAGCCAUAAAUAAUCAUCAACAAUAAAAUAAAUAAACGCUUAAAAUAGAUCACUCUGUGUGUAAUACAUAUAUAAUAUAUAAUAUAUGAGUUUCACAUUUUGAACUGAAUCACUGAAAUAAAAUAACGUUUCAAUGAUCAUUUUUCAAAUUUUUUUUGAUGCACCUGUACAUUGUUGACACAAAAUCCCAUCUCAGAUUACAGUUUCAGAGUACAGUUUAUUAAAACUAUUAAAACUGUAAAAGUAUUGCAGUAUUAAUUGCAGUAGUAUCUAAUUUAUUGGUCUUAUUGGUCACAUACAUGUGUGAUACACAUUAAGCUAUUUUUGCAUUAAUAUGAGAAUAAAUAUGAGAUUUUUCUUUUUCCUCUUAUUAACAUGAUUGAUACGAUUCGUUGACAGUGAUCUACUUAAUCAUGUUCAUUAGAGCAUACAGUACUUUAAAUACAUACGAAUACGUGAUAUUUAUAGAUGCCACUUUAUGACGCUUUAUUCACUUCAUUCACUUUAUUUAACGUAGUCUCAACCAAAGAUUGGCACUAACACAAAGAAGACCCCCAUCUUAACAUUUUAACAUUUUACCAUUUUACCAUUUUUUUAAAAAUCCGUAUUAUCGUCAUCUAAAGGAUGUUUGAGAAUGUAGCAGCAAAUGGUGGCGCACGAGUAUGCUAUGCAACAAAACGCACUCUCUCCUGAACAACCAGCAAAGAGUCAGACUGGGACGAACCCAAGUUGUUGUUUUGAUUGUUCGUUCGUUCGUUCGUUUUUUGAUUUGUUCGUUUUUAAUGAUUUCCCUUUUAACUGAGGAAGAAAGUGAUUUCCUUGCUGAAUUGUCAAAUAUGUACAUAUUAAUGUCUGUACAAAAUAACAGCCUUUGAAUGCUAGCUGUAGCCAGAGAGAACGGUGGAUUUCUCCAAGAGGAAAUAAUGGCAUUUCAAUGGUUUUCCUGUUUGGGACUCAUUUGUAAAUGCUUGGGGCGGAGGGAACUUGUAUUUUUGCAAUAAAGUUAUUACCAAUGCACUCCAGCAGGGGCGCUGCACAACCGUC